ACUUAUAUAGCUUAAUUAGAGCAUAGCAUUGAAGAUGCUAAGGUAAUUUUAAAAUUUAUAGGUA
rnacentral:tRNA from 1 species